AUGAAAACGGACUAAUAUAAGGGGCAACUCUGGGACCUGGGAAGAAACCAGAAGGGCGUUUAAUCACCAUCCCCUACCUCCUGCUUUGGAAGAUGUGAAAUUCAGAAGACUACAGGGCAGGAUUCAGCUGUCAUCCACUAUGACCCCGUCUGAGAGUUGACACCCAGUUCCGCCCCCAGCCUCACCUCUCUGCUUCUCACCUUUGAACACAGGCAAAAAAUGUUUGCUUUUCACCUGCCCUAGAACAGGCCUCUUCGUGCCCAUAUGGUUCUUCACGCUUAAGACAAAAAGAUUUAUUCUAUCUUUCCUUCCCCCUACCCUCACCCCGUCCAACACAUACAUACACACCCUUGGCAACAUGGAUUGACUGACUCUCUUUUCUGAGUUGCAGAGAGCAAAAAGUGACCUCCAUUCUUGGCCACAAGCACAACAGAGCUUUGUUAGUAGAGUGUCCCUACAGAGAGCAUCCAAGGUUGCAGCAGCCAUGGCCUCCUCUGAGGCCCCUGUUGUCCUCUGGGCACCUUCCUUUAAUAUUUGGUAACACUACAGCCAUGAUUCUGCAGGUUUCUCUCCUCAUGUGGCCAGAGGUCAGCCUCUUUUGUUUGGGGAAAUGUGUGGGCCUUCUCCACAGCCUGGCUGCCCACCAGGGACAUGCUUUUCAAUGGCCAAGUUGUAGUACCUGCAAAACUGGGAGCUGCUACUCAUCACCUAUGGAAUUUGCUGGGCCCCGGGGGUGUUAUCACCAGCCAGUGGAAAGUUGGAGAACCUGGAUGAACUGGGCUGAAGACAGCAGGAAGUCUGGGUCUAGCAGCUGGUACCUGUGGCCAUGGCAGAGAUGAGGGCAGCCAUACAAGAGGCAUCCAAGAAUCAACAUGUGGUGGUCCCACUUUGAGUGGGAAAAUCCAGAUGGCUGGGGGGUCCUGAGAGAGACUCCAUGGCAGCCCAGGACAGUGAAUGGGCACAGACUUCUCUUGAUUGGCCAUUACCCAUUCAAUGUGGGCAGAAGGCAGGGGUCCCUGCCCUGGUGAGCAUCCAGGAAGGAUUCAGGUAAUGGAGGAGGCACAUCUCUGGGUCUUGCUUCAGCGGCCCUGCUCACUGUUUCCCUCACAGAAACUUCUCCCCAAACCCCACCCACGCAGACACACUCGGCCUGCUCUUUGUCCUGCCUUUGGCUGAGAUACGACCCCAUUAGUGAUCUGAGGAAAGGGGUAAGCAAGAGUACAUCUACUUCUAAGCAAUUCCUGCUGCUCAGGAUCUGGAAGGGGGUUGUGAGAUCACAAGCAACCACAGUACCCCUAUUCUGCACGCACCAGAGAAAAACACCCAGAGAAGUGGCAAAAGUCUUCCAGGCACUCUGGAGACAAUGAUAUGAUGAGACAUUCAUCGUGUAGCAUUCAGUGACCUGUGGCACCAAGAAAAUAGUUUGAUAAAUAAGCACUUCGUUCUUCAUAUUUAUUGUCUUUGGAAAUAGUGAGUACAAUUCAAUUUCACACAUACCUUCAUGCAUUGACUGUGGUCCAACGAAAGCUUCAUACUGGGUGGUUUCAGAUAAAAGUGGAAGAAACCCCACUCAAAACAGUUUAAGCAAAAAUGAAAUUUGUCUGGCUUCUGUAUUAGAGAAGUCCAAGGGCGGAGCCAACCCAAAGAUUCCCUCACUGUGGGCAGCAUUCUGGUUUCCCAUUCCCCAAGGCUUGCCCUCUCUCUCCAUGUCUGUCUCUCUCUGUCUCUCUGUCUCUCUCUGUAUGUCUCUGGCUCUAUCUUUUUCUGUCUCUGUCUCUAUUUCUGUCUUUCUGUGUGUCUGUCUCUAUU
rnacentral:lncRNA from 1 species